GACGAACGCUGGCGGCGUGCCUAAUACAUGCAAGCCGAGCGCAGGAAGCACACGGAACUCUUCGGAGGGAAGUGAAGGGAAUGAGCGGCGGACGGGUGAGUAACACGUAAGGAACCUGCCCCAAGGAUUGGGAUAACUCUGAGAAAUCGGAGCUAAUACCGAAUAGUUCUUCAGACCGCAUGGUCUGAUGAUGAAAGGCGCUUCGGCGUCACCUUGGGAUGGCCUUGCGGUGCAUUAGCUAGUUGGUGGGGUAAUGGCCCACCAAGGCGACGAUGCAUAGCCGACCUGAGAGGGUGAUCGGCCACACUGGGACUGAGACACGGCCCAGACUCCUACGGGAGGCAGCAGUAGGGAAUCUUCCACAAUGGACGAAAGUCUGAUGGAGCAACGCCGCGUGAGUGAUGAAGGUUUUCGGAUCGUAAAACUCUGUUGUAAGGGAAGAACAGGUAUGAGAGGUAAUGCUCAUGCUAUGACGGUACCUUGCGAGAAAGCCACGGCUAACUACGUGCCAGCCGCCGCGGUGACAC
rnacentral:rRNA from 1 species